rnacentral:rRNA from 1 species
UACGUAGGGGGCAAGCGUUGUCCGGAUUUAUUGGGCGUAAAGAGCGUGUAGGCGGCUUGGUAGGUCCGCUGUGAAAACUCGAGGCUCAACCUCGAGAUGUCGGCGGAAACCACUUGGCUAGAGUCCGGAAGAGGAGAGUGGAAUUCCCGGUGUAGCGGUGAAAUGCGCAGAUAUCGGGAAGAACACCCGUGGCGAAGGCGGUGCUCUGGGCCGGUACUGACGCUGAAGAGCGAAAGCGUGGGGAGCAAACAGG